GAGGUCUAACAAGAGCAUGAAGACAUUUUCUCCUUUGUUCUCCUUGAUUCUGAGUGACACAGAAAAGUGUACCCCAUCAUCUCUUUCACUUCAGAUACCAGCUGUGACACCUGGACUCACCUAGUGACUACUCUUACAUUCCAGCAAUACUUUUUAAGACACGAAAAGCAUUUGAAGCUUUCUCCCCAUGGACACCCAGAGGAACUCAGGACUGGAGCUGUGGCUGUGGAGCUGCAGUGUUGGACAGUGCUCAAGACACCUCCUGGGAAGAGGAACAGGGCCUGAUGGCCAUCAGAUGAUCAUUGAAAGAGCUGUUGCUUUAAAUGAGUUUAUUCACAGUUAAACAUUUCACAUGAGUUACUCAAGAGAACUUGUUUGUUAGAGGCAGGUGGUGACUAAUCAUCUCCUAGCCCACCUUUACCACAUUCAAGAGUUGUCAGAAAGCUGACAAGCAGAAGAACCUCUUUGUAACUCGUCAUUAUAACAAGCUAACAUAGGAGGCACCGACCCCCGCUGCAGUUGGAUUAAAAUGGGAAAAAUAGGGCUUCUAAGUUCCUUUUCCUUGUCCUUGGAGC